rnacentral:tRNA from 1 species
GCGGGUGUAGUUUAAUGGUAGAACCUUAGCCUUCCAAGCUAACUACGCGAGUUCGAUUCUCGUCACCCGCUUACCA